rnacentral:rRNA from 1 species
UACGGGGGGGGCUAGCGUUGUUCGGAAUUACUGGGCGUAAAGGGCGCGUAGGCGGUCUGCUAAGUUGGAUGUGAAAACUCUGGGCUUAACCCAGAGCCUGCAUUCAAUACUGACAGGCUAGAGUUCUGGAGGGGAUAGCGGAAUUCCUGGUGUAGCGGUGAAAUGCGUAGAUAUCAGGAGGAACACCGGUGGCGAAGGCGGUUCUCUGGGCAUGUCCUGACGCUGAGGAGCGAAAGUGUGGGGAGCGAACAGG